rnacentral:tRNA from 1 species
CGCGGGGUGGAGCAGCUUGGUAGCUCGUCGGGCUCAUAACCCGAAGGUCGCAGGUUCAAAUCCUGCCCCCUCUACCA